ensembl:lncRNA
AUGAAACCGCAGCCUCUGGAUCGAAUCCAUGCCUGUCAACUUGGAUCAAAUGCACACCUUUGGGUCCCCGGCAGGACCCGACACCCAGGAGUAAGAAGCCUCAGUCCUCCUAACUAUUUACAAACUGUUCAAGCGACUCUUGAAAGACUGGUAAGCGCAUUUACUCAACUCCUACAACCAUGUUCCUAGAGAUUGCUGGACAGAGCCUUUUGUCUGACUUUUUUGAAUAUGAAUAAGUUCAUUUUCACAAAUAUUUCAAUCUCUUAAAGCAAAUAGAGCUGCACAACAUGCCAUCAAGUAAAUAAAUGACUGAACAAAGAGGAAGCUAUUGUAUAAUAUGUAUACUGUAAUAUGUAUGUAAUAUGCACUACAGCAUCAUGGACUGUGGGUCUUAACUUGUGAUUUGUGCAGUGAAUAACAGUGAGGUAAGGACUGACCUGUUGGCUGCUCCUGUGUAUUUGCUGAUCAGCCAAUCAGAACCUGUACCAUCAGCUGCAUAGCCAACAACCUGCUGGAAAUUUGACACUGUCAUAUAGAUGCAUGGUGGAGCACAAGAUCUAACAAUGUCUGACUUGGCUUCCGAACAUAGGCUGUAUCAACUGAGGAUGACAAAAACGUACCAGUCACUGUGUUUCUGUUUCAACAUUAGUCCCCCCUAAUGUAGAGGACGAUCUUGUCUGGCAGCUUUUACAAUCAGAGUCUUGAUCUAAAUGCACUGUUGUGUCAAACACAUACGCUUUUCUGAGAAGAGCUCUAUAAAUUUACUAUAGGCUCUUGUUGGUGUUCCUUUCUUUUCUUAUGUAUUUAGUUAUACAUUUCCAUUAUUAUUCACACGAGUACAUGUCUAAUGUUAUCUGUCUAUCUAGCUAUGAAAAUAUUCCAACAAAUUAUGAAACAAAGAACUGAAAAAGACUUGAAACAUAUUUACAAAUAUGACUUGAUACAAUCUUUGGGUUAUAUGGUGCUAUGUCAUGUCAUUUACUUUCAUGACAUGAGGCACUCUGUGUGAAACUUCAGAAAACUGUUCUGAAACAGAGGUGCACAUUAUACAACAACUUUUGUGUCCUUGUGCACCCAGGAAUGCUGCAUCUUCACUUUCCUUGUUCAUUUCAAUUCAGUUUUAUUUAUUUAACACCAAGUCAACAAUAGCCACCUUGAGUUGUGUUAUAUUGAAAAGUAAAGUUUCUACAAUAAUACAGAGAAAACCCUAACAAUCAGAUAAUCCUCUAUGAGCAAGCACUGGCAACAGCAGGAAGGAAAAGCAGGAAUAAAUCCCUUGUCCAACCCGACUUAUGCAGGGGACACAUCUGCCCCAAGUGGAUGGUUAUGAGGGGGUUGUAAUAUAUUGUUUACUUGUAUUGUCUAACCGGAGAUCCUGAUUUGGAAUGGGAGCUGUGGGUCUCUUUUGAGAUAUCCCAAUGUUGGGUUGCCAUCAAGAAGAACCCCUUAUUACACAAUGUUGCCCUGAGGAAAAGAAAACUGAAUUUUUUUAACGAGCAAAAUAAAAGACACUUUCUAAAACCUGAAAAGCUGCUUUCUACAGCUUCACACACACAUUAAUUUUCAUUUAAACAUUUAUGCCAUUUUAAAUAUGAUUACUACACCAAAUAUUCUUACCUUCUUCUCACACCAUGUGGUCCUUUGGCCAUGUGUCAGAAAAGGACAUUCCACUUUUAAAUCAAGCUUGACAGUGACUUUAAAAGCUUAAUGAACUGAAAUUUGAUAUUUUUUAAAACACUGAUUGGUUGGCACCAUUUAAGUUGCCACUUCUUCUAUUUGCCGGUGGUACCUGCUGUCCAGGGGCCUGCCCUUCCACGAUGGUGUCUCUUCUUUCCAGAAAUGAAUUUAAAGUGCUUCUCAUCACAUGCAAGGUCUUGAAUAAUCAGGUUCAGUCUUAUCUUAAAGACCUCACAGUAUUGUAUUACCCUAAUUGAGCACUUAACUCUCAGACUG